GACAGAGGGUGCAAACGUUGUUCGGAAUUACUGGGCGUAAAGCGUGUGUAGGUGGCUGCGUAAGUCGGAUGUGAAAGCCCUGGGCUCAACUCAGGAAGUGCACUCGAUACUGCGUAGCUCGAGUACCGGAGAGGUUGGUGGAAUUCUCGGUGUAGAGGUGAAAUUCGUAGAUAUCGCUUGGAACGCCGACGGUGAAAACAGCUCGCUGGGGGUCACCUGACGCUGAGACACGAAAGCCAGGGGAGCGAACGGG
rnacentral:rRNA from 1 species